UUGACUUCGGUCAGUGAGUACAGGACCCCAA
rnacentral:piRNA from 1 species